GGUAUAUAGCUCAAUUGGUAGAGUGCUUGCCUUUCAUGCAUAAGGCCCUGGGUUCAAUUCUUAGUACCA
rnacentral:tRNA from 1 species